GCACGAAGGUUGGCUAAUCCUGGUCGGACAUCAGGAGGUUAGUGCAAUGGCAUAAGCCAGCUUGACUGCGAGCGUGACGGCGCGAGCAGGUGCGAAAGCAGGUCAUAGUGAUCCGGUGGUUCUGAAUGGAAGGGCCAUCGCUCAACGGAUAAAAGGUACUCCGGGGAUAACAGGCUGAUACCGCCCAAGAGUUCAUAUCGACGGCGGUGUUUGGCACCUCGAUGUCGGCUCAUCACAUCCUGGGGCUGAAGUAGGUCCCAAGGGUAUGGCUGUUCGCCAUUUAAAGUGGUACGCGAGCUGGGUUUAGAACGUCGUGAGACAGUUCGGUCCCUAUCUGCCGUGGGCGCUGGAGAACUGAGGGGGGCUGCUCCUAGUACGAGAGGACCGGAGUGGACGCAUCACUGGUGUUCGGGUUGUCAUGCCAAUGGCACUGCCCGGUAGCUAAAUGCGGAAGAGAUAAGUGCUGAAAGCAUCUAAGCACGAAACUUGCCCCG
rnacentral:rRNA from 1 species